AGGUAGUGAAAACAACGCUCUGUAUAUAUAUUAUAAAGGACUCUCCAAACAGUUGAUGACCUACAAAUUUGAUACUGUCCGAAGUGUACUGGAGAAAGAUAAAAAGGAAGAUGAUGCCAAUGAGUUUGUCAGUGCUGUAACUUGGAGACCAGGCUCUAAUGUCCUUGUUGCUGCUAACAGCCAGGGUACCAUAAAGGUUCUGGAAUUGGUGUGACCUUUUGGUACAUUGAUCUUAAUAGCUCCAAGACAUUUCUGCCACCUGUACCAUUUUACCGGGACAAACUAUUUGUCUGGAAUCUUUCAUGUUCACUGCCAAAACAAACCAUCUCAACAUCUUUUUGGUUUAUGUUUCAUAUCUACCCUGAUCUGACUCAUUUCACGUAGAAAUAUGUAUAUAUAUAUAUAUAUAUAGGCAUACACUCACAUGUGUGUGUGUGUGUAUAUAUAUAUAUAUAAAUAUAUGUACACAGACAUACCCACACACAUGUAUAUAUGUGUGUGUGUGUGUAUAUAUAUUAUGUGUGUGUGUGUGUGCAUGUGU